rnacentral:misc_RNA from 1 species
GAAAUGCGAUAAGUAAUGUGAAUUGUAGAAUUCAGUGAAUCAUCGAAUCUUUGAACGCACCUUGCGCUCCUUGGUAUUCCUUGGAGCAUGCCUGUUUGAGUAUCAUGAAAUCUUCAAAGUAAAUCUUUUGUUAACUCAAUUGGUUUCUACUUUGGUAUUUGAGGUCUUUGCAGCUUCACACCUGCUCCUCUUUGUUCAUUAGCUGGAUCUCAUUGUUAUGCUUGGUUCCACUCGGCGUGAUAAGUUAUCUAUCGCUGAGGACACUGUAAAAGGUGGCCAAGGUAAAUGCAGAUGAACCGCUUCUAAUAGUCCAUUGACUUGGACAAUACUUUUAUGAUCUGAUCUCAAAUCAGGUAGGACUACCCGCUGAACUUAAGC